UACGUAGGGUGCAAGCGUUGCUCGGAAUUAUUGGGCGUAAAGAGCGUGUAGGUGGCUGAGUAAGUCGGAUGUGAAAUCCCUGGGCUCAACCGAGGAAGUGCAUUCGAAACUACUCAGCUCGAGGAUGGCAGAGGAAGGUGGAAUUCCAAGUGUAGAGGUGAAAAUUCGUAGAUAUUUGGAGGAAUACCGGUGGCGAAGGCGGCCUUCUGGACCAUUCCUGCACUGAGACGCGAAAGCGUGGGUAGCAAACAGG
rnacentral:rRNA from 1 species